GAAUUUUGCGCAAUGGGGGAGACCCUGACGCAGCAACGCCGCGUGGGUGAUGAAGGCCUUCGGGUCGUAAAGCCCUGUCAGGUGGGAAGAAUGCCUCUGGGUUAAACAGGCUCAGGGGGUGACGGUACCACCAGAGGAAGCACCGGCUAACUCCGUGCCAGCAGCCGCGGUAAUACGGAGGGUGCAAGCGUUAUUCGGAAUUACUGGGCGUAAAGGGCAUGUAGGCGGAAAGACAAGUCUGAUGUGAAAGCCCGGGGCUCAACCCCGGAAGGGCAUUGGAAACGGUCUUUCUUGAGUACCGGAGAGGAAGGGGGAAUUCCCGGUGUAGAGGUGAAAUUCGUAGAGAUCGGGAGGAAUAUCAGUGGCGAAGGCGCCCUUCUGGACGGUAACUGACGCUGAGAUGCGAAAGCGUGGGGAGCAAAC
rnacentral:rRNA from 1 species